GGCCCCGGGCUCUCUGGGCCGCGCCUGAGGCGGACGCAACGGGGCCGGGGGGCGGCGGCAGUAGUGGCGGCAGCGGCGGCGCGAGUGAGCGCCGCGGCUGGCCGAAGUGGAUGGAGUUGGAGGGGCGGAGUGCAGGCGGCGUGGCGGGAGGACCAGCUGCUGGGCCCGGGCGGAGCCCCGGGGAGUCGGCGCUGCUGGACGGGUGGCUGCAGCGGGGCGUGGGCCGGGGGGCCGGCGGCGGGGAGGCGGGGGCCUAUCAGACCCCUGUACGGCUGGAUCCGGAGUCCGGUCCGGAAUACGAAGCGCUGCCGGCUGGAGCCACUGUCACCACGCACAUGGUGGCGGGCGCCGUGGCAGGGAUCCUGGAGCAUUGCGUGAUGUACCCGAUCGACUGCGUCAAGACCCGGAUGCAGAGUCUACAGCCUGAUCCAGCCGCCCGCUAUCGAAACGUGUUGGAGGCUCUCUGGAGAAUUAUAAGAACAGAGGGCCUGUGGAGGCCCAUGAGGGGGCUGAACGUCACUGCGACUGGCGCGGGGCCUGCCCACGCCCUCUAUUUUGCCUGCUACGAAAAGUUAAAAAAGACAUUGAGUGAUGUGCAGCCGGAUGUGUGGCAACGUUACUUCAUGAUGCAGCCAUGAAUCCAGCUGAAGUGGUCAAGCAGCGGAUGCAGAUGUACAACUCACCGUACCACCGGGUGACAGACUGUGUUCGGGCAGUGUGGCAAAAUGAAGGGGCCGGGGCCUUUUACCGCAGCUACACGACCCAGCUGACCAUGAAUGUUCCCUUCCAAGCCAUUCACUUCAUGACCUAUGAGUUCCUGCAGGAGCACUUUAAUCCCCAGAGACGGUACAACCCCAGCUCCCAUGUGCUCUGUGGAGCCUGCGCAGGAGCUGUAGCUGCCGCCGCCACCACCCCACUGGACGUUUGCAAAACACUGCUCAACACCCAGGAGUCCCUGGCCUUGAGCUCAAACAUUACAGGACACAUCACAGGCAUGGCUAAUGCCUUCAGGACGGUCUAUCAAGUAGGCGGGGUGACUGCUUACUUCCGAGGGGUACAGGCCAGAGUAAUUUACCAGAUCCCCUCCACAGCCAUCGCAUGGUCUGUGUAUGAAUUCUUCAAAUACCUAAUCACGAAGCGGCAAGAAGAAUGGAGGGCAGGCAAGUGAAGGGAUGCUGAGUGGACCGGGGUCUGACCGUACGGCUGCAUCCUGCCCUUCCAGCACAUUCUCUUCUGUGGCACACUCCAGUCUCAAGAGGAAUUGGAAGGAAGGAGAGAGCUCACUCCAGGCUGUAGUUGGCUAACACGAGUUCUUGCCAACGUCUCUUGCCACCGUUGUCUUUUCUCCUGGGCUCUCUGCAAUUCAGCAAAGCCCACUGCAGUCCCUCUGACACCAUCUCCAUCCUGGGCCUGGCGACCUGCUUUAGACUUGCAGAGGAUAAGCAGCACACCCCCUGGUUCCUAAUUAAAAAGAAAAAAAGCCUUUAAA
rnacentral:lncRNA from 1 species